AACGAACGCUGGCGGCAUGCCUAACACAUGCAAGCCGAACGCGUGUAGCAAUACACGAGUGGCGCACGGGUGAGUAACGCGUGGGAACCUGCCCAGUGGUAGGGAAUAACUGCGGGAAACUGCAGCUAAUACCCUAUACGCCCUACGGGGGAAAGUUUUUCGCCAUUGGAGGGGCCCGCGUCGGAUUAGCUAGUUGGUGAGGUAAGAGCUUACCAAGGCGACGAUCCGUAGCUGGUCUGAGAGGAUGAUCAGCCACACUGGGACUGAGACACGGCCCAGACUCCUACGGGAGGCAGCAGUGGGGAAUAUUGGACAAUGGGGGCAACCCUGAUCCAGCAAUGCCGCGUGAGUGAUGAAGGCCUUAGGGUUGUAAAGCUCUUUCGACGGGGACGAUGAUGACGGUACCCGUAGAAGAAGCCCCGGCUAACUUCGUGCCAGCAGCCGCCGUAACAC
rnacentral:rRNA from 1 species